rnacentral:rRNA from 1 species
UGAGUAACCUGCCCUGGACUUUGGGAUAACCCUCGGAAACGGGGGCUAAUACCGGAUAUGACACGUUCUCGCAUGGGAUGUGUGUGGAAAGUUUUUUCGGUCUGGGAUGGGCUCGCGGCCUAUCAGCUUGUUGGUAGGGGUGAUGGCCUACCAAGGCGACGACGGGUAGCCGGCCUGAGAGGGCGACCGGCCACACUGGGACUGAGACACGGCCCAGACUCCUACGGGAGGCA